GAGAUGCACAUCGCCCCCCUCUAAAGGGACUCUUUUGUUGGUGGUUCUGCGGAGGGGUUUGGGACCUUCGACGUUUAGGUGGAGAUCGAGAGUGCUGCCGAUUCUUUCCAUAGCCCUUCUUCAGCAGGGGCUCCUUGAUCUCCUUUUCUUUCCUCUCUUUGGCACCCAUACCCACCGGGGGCUCAUUUCUAAAAGCUUCAUCUG
rnacentral:lncRNA from 1 species